CCUACGGGAGGCAGCAGUGGGGAAUCUUGCACAAUGGAGGAAACUCUGAUGCAGCGAUGCCGCGUGAGUGAAGAAGGCCUUUGGGUUGUAAAGCUCUUUUGUAGGGGAAGAUAAUGACUGUACCCUAAGAAUAAGGUCCGGCUAACUUCGUGCCAGCAGCCGCGGUAAUACGAAGGGACCUAGCGUAGUUCGGAAUUACUGGGCGUAAAGCGCGCGUAGGCCGUUGAGUUAGUUAAUUGUGAAAUCCCAAAGCUUAACUUUGGAACUGCAAUUAAAACUGCUCGACUAGAGUUUGAUAGAGGAAAGCGGAAUACAUAGUGUAGAGGUGAAAUUCGUAGAUAUUAUGUAGAACACCAGUUGCGAAGGCGGCUUUCUGGAUCAACACUGACGCUGAGGCGCGAAAGUAUGGGUAGCAAAGAGGAUUAGAUACCCUCGUAGUCCAUACCAUAAACGAUGAUUGCUAGAUGUUGGAAAUUUAUUUUCAGUAUCGCAGCUAACGCAUUAAGCAAUCCGCCUGGGGAGUACGACCGCAAGGUUAAAACUCAAAUGAAUUGACGG
rnacentral:rRNA from 1 species